rnacentral:misc_RNA from 1 species
UGUGGGAGCUGGCUUGCCUGCGAUGCAGGCGCCUCGGUCUAUCAGUGACCGCGGUGAUGCCAUCGCAGGCAAGCCAGCUCCCACA